rnacentral:rRNA from 1 species
GCAACCUGCCCCGAAGACCGGGAUAACACCGGGAAACCGAUGCUAAUACCGGAUGUCCCCAUUGGUCCGCAUGGACCGAUGAGGAAAGGAAUCUGCUUCGGGAGGGGCUCGCGGCCUAUCAGCUUGUUGGUGAGGUAACGGCUCACCAAGGCGACGACGGGUAGCUGGUCUGAGAGGACGAUCAGCCACACUGGGACUGAGACACGGCCCAGACUCCUACGGGAGGCAGCAGUAGGGAAUCUUGCGCAAUGGGCGAAAGCCUGACGCAGCAACGCCGCGUGGGGGAUGAAGGCCUUCGGGUUGUAAACUCCUUUCAGUGGGAACGAAAUUGACGGUACCCACAGAAGAAGCCCCG